UGGGGAAUAUUGGACAAUGGGGGAAACCCUGAUCCAGCAAUGCCGCGUGAGUGAAGAAGGCCUUAGGGUUGUAAAGCUCUUUCGCCCGCGAAGAUAAUGACGGUAGCGGGAGAAGAAGCCCCGGCUAACUCCGUGCCAGCAGCCGCGGUAAUACGGAGGGGGCUAGCGUUGUUCGGAAUUACUGGGCGUAAAGCGUACGUAGGCGGAUGCGCAAGUUGGGGGUGAAAUCCCGGGGCUUAACCUCGGAAUUGCCCUCAAAACUGCACGUCUUGGGACCGAGAGAGGUAAGGGGAAUUCCUAGUGUAGAGGUGAAAUUCGUAGAUAUUAGGAAGAACACCAGUGGCGAAGGCGCCUUACUGGCUCGGUACUGACGCUGAGGUACGAAAGCGUGGGGAGCAAACA
rnacentral:rRNA from 1 species